rnacentral:rRNA from 1 species
UUUUAUGGAGAGUUUGAUCCUGGCUCAGGAUGAACGCUGGCGGCGUGCCUAAUACAUGCAAGUCGAGCGAACGGACGAGAAGCUUGCUUCUCUGAUGUUAGCGGCGGACGGGUGAGUAACACGUGGAUAACCUACCUAUAAGACUGGGAUAACUUCGGGAAACCGGAGCUAAUACCGGAUAAUAUUUUGAACCGCAUGGUUCAAAAGUGAAAGACGGUCUUGCUGUCACUUAUAGAUGGAUCCGCGCUGCAUUAGCUAGUUGGUAAGGUAACGGCUUACCAAGGCAACGAUGCAUAGCCGACCUGAGAGGGUGAUCGGCCACACUGGAACUGAGACACGGUCCAGACUCCUACGG